rnacentral:lncRNA from 1 species
GUCCAAGAACUGAAUUUGGGUUAUGAAUCAUAUGCUUUUGGCAUCAUAAGAUAAUAAUCCUUGUCCUCAAGGCCCAAAUGUUUCAAGCAUGCUUUCACUGAAUAUCUUUUGGGUGGAAAGUCUGUCGACCAAAACUGCAAUCAGGGACAAUAUUAUGCUUUUGCUGGGCAAACUACUUUCCACCAAGUCUCUUGGGUGUGACCUCCUCUUUUUAAUUUUGGAACCCUGAAAAUAAUG